UUAUCAUGGCUUGAGGCACAUUUAGAAGUACUCACGCGCAAACUGAUCCCAGUGGCACAGGGUAGGGCCCAGCAUCAGUAGUUUAUAAAAGCACCCUGGAUGAUUCUAAUGUACAGUCAAGGUGGAGAUUCACUGCUACAGAGCCCGGCACACACACAAGGUGCUUAAUCAAUGUUGCUGAAGUGGAUUGAAUGGAAUUGGCUGCAUCCCAGGACCUGUGAAGUUGCCCCAGCCCUGGGUCUCAGGCAGAGAGGAGAGGGACCUAAAACUCGUAUUCUGAGUGAGCUGAUAAAUGAUGGAUUAUCCACACUCCCCUGGAAAAUCUGCCCGAGGAGCCAGAGCGCUUGGCUAGCACUGCCGCCUGGUGGAGAGAAACGGAACUGACUGCAGCACACCCCGAGAUGGGCUCUUCCUUGGUUUUACGCAACUACCACGGGCACAGGCAUUGGUGUAGACCCCUGCUGCACGAGAGGAGGGAGGAUUCACAGCAGCUGAACACAGAGAACAAAGUUAAAUGAAGCUUCACCG
rnacentral:lncRNA from 1 species